rnacentral:tRNA from 2 species
CGGGCCGUGGCUCAGAUUGGUAGAGCACUGCGUUCGGGACGCAGGGGUCGCGGGUUCAAGUCCCGCCGGCCCGA